GUGGGGAAUAUUGGACAAUGGGGGCAACCCUGAUCCAGCCAUGCCGCGUGAAUGAUGAAGGCCUUCGGGUUGUAAAGUUCUUUUGGAGGGGACGAUGAUGACGGUACCCUCAGAAUAAGCUCCGGCUAACUUCGUGCCAGCAGCCGCGGUAAUACGAAGGGAGCUAGCGUUGUUCGGAAUUACUGGGCGUAAAGGGCGCGUAGGCGGUUUGGUUAGUCAGAUGUGAAAGCCCAGGGCUUAACCCUGGAACUGCGUUUGAUACUGCCAAGCUUGAAUUCGGGAGAGGUGAGUGGAAUUCCCAGUGUAGAGGUGAAAUUCGUAGAUAUUGGGAAGAACACCGGUGGCGAAGGCGGCUCACUGGACCGACAUUGACGCUGAGGCGCGAAAGCGUGGGGAGCAAACAGGAUUAGAUACCCGGGUAGUCC
rnacentral:rRNA from 1 species